UUGUAAUAUUCGGAUUGGUUCGAAAAAUAUAUCUUUCACAUAGUUGUUCAAAUAAUAUCUGAAACUUAAACACACAAUUUAUUGCAUAAUUUUUGUCAACGACGACAGGUGUCUCUAAACGAAGAGGAUUCAUAAUGUAGUCAUUUCAAAUCUGUGAUAAUAUAGAAAUACGUCCACAUAACUUUGCAGAUUCAAAUUAAUAACUAUAUGUUUCAAAAACGUUUAUUUUGUUGUACUUAAUGUAUAUCAUGAACGUCGAUUGUCUGUAGACCUGUGCCAAUGCUAUGAAGAUUUGCUGAAUUGAUAUCAUGUUCUUCGUUAUAGUUAAUUUAGUCAAACUGAAGUUAUUCAAUCAUCAUAGACGAAGGAAUUUAGCUAAAAACAUCUAUAUGGUCGGAGUAUGAAGCUCAUACUGUACAUAUUAUUGAUGUUAUAGACGUCCAACAUCUCAAAACCUGUCCAAACAGCAUCAACAUUCUCUUAAUUAAGAACAUCUGGAUUUUAAUUUUUUAAAUUGUCGUCAUACAAUGAUUGAAUCAUCAUGGACAAAGGAAUUAUGCCUCACCUAUUUUUUAGUCGGAGUAAGAAGCUUUACACUACUACAUAUUUAGUGAUGACUUUGAUCAUUUCUAUUCCUUUCCUUACCAAUAUAGUUAAUAUUAGUUCAAUCAGCAUGGACGAACUUCACCUAUCCACAUGGUGAGAGUAAAAAUCUAAUGUUUAACAUAUUUAGUGAUAUCCUAGACUUGGAUCAUGUUUUUGACUUGUGUUAAUACCAUUGGAAUUCUUUGAAUGAAGAUAAUUUUUUGGUUUAACUUGACAAUCGAAUUUCAUUAAGUAGCCAAAACAUUUUAUAAGUAGGGAUUAAGCUUCACCUAUUUACGUGGUCGGAAUAAGUAUCUCCGUAUCUCCUAUUCUAAAUAUAUUUAUAUGAUAUUAUGGAUUUCGAUUCUCCCCAGACUUGUAGAAACAAAAUCAGCAUUAUCUGAAUGAAGAUAAUUUUCUACGUUACAAUACUCAAUCCGUGAAUUCUUCCGAUAUUUAGGAUAUUUCUUUCAUUUUUAAUUUGAUUUCAAUGAUUUCCUGUAACAGCGAUGGUCGCAUUUGAGAAAAAUGAAAUAUCGAUAAAUUCAAUAUUGAAAUUAUAAGCUCAACGCAAUCUUGGAUUGUAUAGAAGACAUGAGAACGACAUCAGGUGUCUAAUCGUCGAUGAUUCUGCGUAUUGCAGUUCACCAUGUCCCCCUUACAAAUAUAAAUGUUUUUCUCUCGUCGUAAUUAAGUUAAUUUAUCAUGGAGGAAUGUAUUUAGAUUCACCUGUUUACAUGACGGGAGUUAAAAUAUCAUACUCUAUAUAUUUAUUGGUAUUUUGGAUAGUGCUAAUCUCAAGGCCUGUCAAGGUUACAUCAGGACUCCCUCAAUGAUGACAAUUUUCGUCCUAUUGGAUUAACUCAAUCAUGAAGAGAGUAGGGAUUAAGUAUGGCCUAUCUAUAGAGCUGUAGAUGGAAUCUUACAUUCCAAAUAUUGAUAUAAUUGACAUAAUUUUCAGAUCUGUAUAAACUACAUAAGCAUUCUCUGAAUGAUAAGAAUUUUUGCCGCUAUAGUUGAUUUUGCUGUUACAGGUUACAAUCAUCAUGGAUAUCGAUCAUCCUCAAACUAGAAAAAUUGAAAUGAAUAUUCCAAAUGUCAUAUAAUCUUGAAAUUAUUAUCCUAUCACAUUCAUGGGAAGAUUUUCCUUGUUACAGAGUUCAGAAUGUGGGCAUUCUAAAUCCGCGAGUAUCUUUAAUGUUUCCCUACUUAAAGAUAAUAUCUUACAAUUAUUUAUUAUAUCCAACCCCUUCGUUUUACUCCACUCAUUCCCUCAAGAUGAAUCCUCAAAAGGUGUCUGACUAAGAGCAAUUCCACGGCAAUCUGAAGAAGCUUAGGCACUUUCUAAGUAUUCAAUAGUGUGUUAACUCCAUUUUGAGGAGGAAGAUUUCAUAGUCAAGAGUUCUGACAAAUGGAGAGGGUUUCGAAAAUACAAGUAACAAGAGAACAAACUUCACAAACGUUAUUUGAAGCUUUCGGCUGUUCCUUGUGUAUUACCAAAUCUUCCGAAAUAAGUUUAAAAGAUCAACGUCCAAAGCAUCUGCUAGGAUAUCAAAGGAAAAUGCAGCUACUAUUCAAGCAGAGGAAACUUUUUCCCAAAAGGAUACAUAUGGGCGUUACGUUUUCUCUAAUAGUCCAAAUAUAUAAUGUAUACAACCUCAUCAUGAAGACAGAAAAUAUCAAGUCUUUUUUUCAAAAU
rnacentral:lncRNA from 1 species